CAUAGCCUUUAGCAAAACAAGUAUUAAAGGUAACGCCUGCCAGUGAACAAUUCAACGGCCGCGGUAUCCUAACCGUGCAAAGGUAGCGUAAUCACUUGUCCUCUAAAUAAGGACCAGUAUGAACGGCUAAAUGAGGGCUAUACUGUCUCCUUUAGUUAAUCAGUGAAACUGAUCUACCAGUACAAAAGCUGGUAUUAAAACAUAAGACGAGAAGACCCUGUGGAGCUUUAAACCUUAUGCCACAACAUAUGGCAAAAAUUUUAAGUUGGGGCGACUUCGGAAAAAAGAUUAACUUCCGAGCAUAAGAACUCUAACUAAGGCUAACAAGCCAAAGCAAAACAUGACCCAGUCAAACUGACUAACGAACCAAGUUACCCCAGGGAUAACAGCGCUAUCUUCUUCAAGAGUUCUUAUCGACAAGAAGGUUUACGACCUCGAUGUUGGAUCAGGACACCCAAAUGGUGCAGCCGCUAUUAAAGGUUCGUUUGUUCAACGAUUAACAGUCCUACGUGAUCUGAG
rnacentral:rRNA from 1 species